rnacentral:rRNA from 1 species
ACGAACGCUGGCGGCGUGCUUAACACAUGCAAGUCGAGCGGUAAGGCACUUCGGUGUACACGAGCGGCGAACGGGUGAGUAACACGUGAGUAAUCUGCCCCCCUCUUCGGGAUAAGCUUCGGAAACGGGGUCUAAUACCGGAUAUGACACCUCCCUGCAUGGGGUGGUGUGGAAAGUUUUUUCGGUGGGGGAUGUGCUCGCGGCCUAUCAGCUUGUUGGUGGGGUAAUGGCCUACCAAGGCUUCGACGGGUAGCCGGCCUGAGAGGGUGACCGGCCACACUGGGACUGAGACACGGCCCAGACUCCUACGGGAGGCAGCAGUGGGGAAUAUUGGACAAUGGGCGGAAGCCUGAUCCAGCAACGCCGCGUGAGGGAUGACGGCCUUCGGGUUGUAAACCUCUUUCAGUACCGACGAAGUUGCGCCUUUUUGGGCGUGGUGACGGUAGGUACAGAAGAAGCACCGGCCAACUACGU